ensembl:antisense 1700099I09Rik RIKEN cDNA 1700099I09 gene
GUAGCAACUGAGACUAGCAGAAAGGAGGAAGAAAACUGCCUUAUCUCCACGGUGAAGUCCUCAUCGUUUGUAUCGUCCUCCUCCUCCGUCUCCAUGUGAUGAUACUUCUCUGACCGAGCUGCGGAGGAAGGGUUGGGAACAGUCUGGGUUACUCAGAGAGCUUCUGUAUUUAACAGUGACAACUACCCUCUGAGGACCUGGAGCAGAACAACAGGGAGCUUUCUAGAAUUUGUAGUUGGGGAAUAAAUUCCGCCUUCUGUCUCAGCAAACUGUUCCAGUCUAAGGAGCGGAAGAAACGAUGCUGCUUCACUUCAUAGGCUCCACCUGGACGGGGAGAGGAGCGAGGCUGAGAGGCUGAACCACCCUCUGUACAGGAAGCACCACGCUUACAAACAGUUCACGAUAUUUGUUAGCAGAGAAAUGAAGAAGUGGUGGAGUCCACACUACCUCCCCCCCCCCCCCCCCCCCCCCCCCCCCCGCCCCCACCUUCUACAACCAAAACUUGAAAAAAAAAAUUUCUAGACUUUAUCAGCAGGAAAUCAGAUUUUGCUAACAGCGGUUGCUAUAGCACAGAUUUUUCUCAGUUAAUUUUUCUACGACUUCUUCCAUUUUUCAAAGGUUAAUGACAGGGCCACUUAAAAUCACAUUAUACUGAACCUGGGGACAUGGACGCACGUUGGCCCAAAAACAGACUUGCUCAUUACAAACCCUGAAGAUCCUAACAAGGUGCAAAAUGUGCUUACAGCAAGAUUUCUUCUGGAGGGAAGGUUAAUAAUGAUGGAUUUUU